AGCCAGCAGCCGCGGUAAUACGGAGGAUCCGAGCGUUAUCCGGAUUUACUGGGUUUAAAGGGUGCGUAGGCGGGCGCUUAAGUCAGCGGUGAAAUACGGGGGCUCAACCUUCGAACGGCCGUUGAUACUGGGCGCCUUGGAUUCGGUCGAGGCGGGCGGAAUGCGACAUGUAGCGGUGAAAUGCUUAGAUAUGUCGCAGAACGCCGAUUGCGAAGGCAGCUCGCCAGGCCGAGAUUGACGCUGAGGCACGAAAGCGUGGGGAUCGAACAGGAUUAGAUACCCUGGUAGUCCACGCCGUAAACGAUGAUGGCUGGAUGUUGGCGAUACACCGUCAGCGUCUGAGGGAAACCAUUAAGCCAUCCACCUGGGGAGUACGGCCGCAAGGCUGAAACUCAAAGGAAUUGACGGGGGCCCGCACAAGUC
rnacentral:rRNA from 1 species